rnacentral:rRNA from 1 species
UGGGGAAUUUUCCGCAAUGGGCGAAAGCCUGACGGAGCAAUGCCGCGUGAAGGCAGAAGGCCCACGGGUCAUGAACUUCUUUUCUCGGAGAAGAAAAAUGACGGUAUCUGAG